GAGUUUGAUCCUGGCUCAGAACGUACGCUGACGGAAUGGAUUAGGCAUGCAAGUCGAACGCUUGAGCUCUUCGGAGCAAGAGAGUGGCGAACGGGUGAGUAAGGCGUGAAUCACCUACCCUGUUGAGGGGGACAACCAUUCGAAAGGAUGGCUAAUACCCCAUACGCUCCUUCGGGAGGAAAGCUGGCUCUGCUGGCGCUGCAGGAGGGGUUCACGUGCUAUUAGCUUGUUGGUGGGGUAACGGCCCACCAAGGCGAUGAUGGCUAGCCGGCCUGAGAGGGUGUCCGGCCACACUGGGACUGAGACACUGCCCAGACUCCUACGGGAGGCUGCAGUCGAGAAUCUUCCACUAAUGCGCGAAAGCGUGAUGGAGCAAUUCCGUGUGUAGGAUGAAGGCCUUAGGGUUGUAAACUACUGUUGGAAAGGCGUAAUCCCUGGGUGUUAAUACCAUUCCAGGUUGAACUCCUUUCGGAGGAAGCAGCGGCUAAAUUCGUGCCAGCAGCCGCGGUAAUACGAAUGCUGUAAGCGUAGUUCGGAAUCACUGAGCAUAAAGAGCACGUAGGCGGCCUAUAAAGUCAGCUGUGAUAUCCCCCGGCUUAAACGAGGAACUGCAGCUGAUACUGAU
rnacentral:rRNA from 1 species